UGGGAACAAGCCCUAAGCCUGUCAUAAAUA
rnacentral:piRNA from 1 species